rnacentral:rRNA from 1 species
UACGAAGGGUGCAAGCGUUGUCCGGAAUUAUUGGGCGUAAAGAGCUCGUAGGCGGUUUGUUGCGUCGGCUGUGAAAUCCCGAGGCUCAACCUCGGGCCUGCAGUCGAUACGGGCAGACUAGAGUGUUGCAGGGGAGACUGGAAUUCCUGGUGUAGCGGUGAAAUGCGCAGAUACCAGGAGGAACACCGGUGGCGAAGGCGGGUCUCUGGGCAACAACUGACGCUGAGGAGCGAAAGCGUGGGGAGCGAACAGG